UACGAAGGGGGCUAGCGUUGCUCGGAAUCACUGGGCGUAAAGAGCGUGUAGGCGGCCAGGUAGGUCGGUUGUGAAAACUGGAGGCUCAACCUUCAGACGUCGACCGAAACCAUCUGGCUAGAGUCCGGGAGAGGAGAGUGGAAUUCCUGGUGUAGCGGUGAAAUGCGCAGAUAUCAGGAAGAACACCCGUGGCGAAAGCGGCUCUCUGGAACGGUACUGACGCUGAGACGCGAAAGCGUGGGGAGCGAACAGG
rnacentral:rRNA from 1 species